GACGAACGCUGGCGGCGUGCUUAACACAUGCAAGUCGAACGGAAAGGCCCUGCUUUUGUGGGGUGCUCGAGUGGCGAACGGGUGAGUAACACGUGAGUAACCUGCCCUUGACUUUGGGAUAACUUCAGGAAACUGGGGCUAAUACCGGAUAGGAGCUCCUGCUGCAUGGUGGGGGUUGGAAAGUUUCGGCGGUUGGGGAUGGACUCGCGGCUUAUCAGCUUGUUGGUGGGGUAGUGGCUUACCAAGGCUUUGACGGGUAGCCGGCCUGAGAGGGUGACCGGCCACAUUGGGACUGAGAUACGGCCCAGACUCCUACGGGAGGUAGCAGUGGGGAAUAUUGCACAAUGGGAGGAAGCCUGAUGCAGCAACGCCGCGUGCGGGAUGACGGCCUUCGGGUUGUAAACCGCUUUCGCCUGUGACGAAGCGUGAGUGACGGUAAUGGGUAAAGAAGCACCGGCUAACUACGUG
rnacentral:rRNA from 1 species